rnacentral:rRNA from 1 species
UACGUAGGGGGCUAGCGUUGUCCGGAAUCAUUGGGCGUAAAGAGCGUGUAGGCGGCCCGGUCAGUCCGCUGUGAAAGUCGGGGGCUCAACCCUCGAAUGCCGGUGGAUACUGUCGGGCUAGAGUGCGGAAGAGGCGAGUGGAAUUCCUGGUGUAGCGGUGAAAUGCGCAGAUAUCAGGAGGAACACCAAUUGCGAAGGCAGCUCGCUGGGACGUUACUGACGCUGAGACGCGAAAGCGUGGGGAGCAAACAGG